rnacentral:rRNA from 1 species
UACGGGGGGGGCAAGCGUUGUUCGGAAUUACUGGGCGUAAAGGCUCGUAGGCGGCCAACUAAGUCAGACGUGAAAUCCCCAGGCUCAACCUGGGAACUGCGUCUGAUACUGGAUGGCUUGAAAUUCGGGAGAGGGAUGCAGAAUUCCAGGUGUAGCGGUGAAAUGCGUAGAUAUCUGGAGGAAUACCGGUGGCGAAGGCGGCAUCCUGGACCCGACAUUGACGCUGAGGAGCGAAAAGCUAGGGGAGCAAACGGG